rnacentral:lncRNA from 1 species
UCAGCAGCCGCCUUCUUCUUGGCUGGCUUGUCAAAGUACUUCUUGAUUUUGGGGAGAACCUUGUCCUUCCAGUAACUCAUAUUUCCUACAGCUGCUGUGUAAACUGCACAAAACAUCAAAAUACAAAGAUUUUUUUAUUGUAAGAUAGAGAAACAAAUAUGUCAAGAAUAAAAAACAAGACAAACCCAUAUCAGGAAAUAAGAGAGAGAGAGAGGUUUCCUGUGUUUGAGAAAAAGGGAAAUCAAUAUCCCAGGAUACAAACCAAACACCACAAAGAAUCCAAACAGACCCAGGGAGAGAGAGGAGGUAUGGAAAAGGCAGGCAGCCGUGACCGUGACUUCUCUCAGUUCUUGGAAACAGAAUCAAUGAGCUGACAAGUGAGGAAAACAUUCCUCUGAAAAAACACAAUAAAAAAAGGAAGGGAAGAGUGUAAAAACACAAGGAAAACGGC